UACGUAGGGGGCAAGCGUUGUCCGGAAUUAUUGGGCGUAAAGAGCUCGUAGGCGGUUCGGUAAGUCAGCUGUGAAAUCUCCACGCUCAACGUGGAGGGGUCAGCUGAUACUGCCGUGACUUGAGUCUGGUAGGGGAGUGCGGAAUUCCCGGUGUAGCGGUGAAAUGCGCAGAUAUCGGGAGGAACACCAAUGGCGAAGGCAGCUCGCUGGGACGUGACUGACGCUGAGACG
rnacentral:rRNA from 1 species